rnacentral:rRNA from 1 species
UUCCGGGGGACGAUAACGGCGUCCGAGCGGCGGACGGGUGAGUAAUGCCUAGGAAAUUGCCCUGAUGUGGGGGAUAACCAUUGGAAACGAUGGCUAAUACCGCAUGAUGCCUACGGGCCAAAGAGGGGGACCUUCGGGCCUCUCGCGUCAGGAUAUGCCUAGGUGGGAUUAGCUAGUUGGUGAGGUAAGGGCUCACCAAGGCGACGAUCCCUAGCUGGUCUGAGAGGAUGAUCAGCCACACUGGAACUGAGACACGGUCCAGACUCCUACGGGAGGCAGCAGUGGGGAAUAUUGCACAAUGGGCGCAAGCCUGAUGCAGCCAUGCCGCGUGUGUGAAGAAGGCCUUCGGGUUGUAAAGCACUUUCAGUCGUGAGGAAGGUGGUGUAGUUAAUAGCUGCAUUAUUUGACGUUAGCGACAGAAGAAGCACCGGCUAACUCCGUGCCAGCAGCCGCGGUAAUACGGAGGGUGCGAGCGUUAAUCGGAAUUACUGGGCGUAAAGCGCAUGCAGGUGGUUUGUUAAGUCAGAUGUGAAAGCCCGGGGCUCAACCUCGGAAUAGCAUUUGAAACUGGCAGACUAGAGUACUGUAGAGGGGGGUAGAAUUUCAGGUGUAGCGGUGAAAUGCGUAGAGAUCUGAAGGAAUACCGGUGGCGAAGGCGGCCCCCUGGACAGAUACUGACACUCAGAUGCGAAAGCGUGGGGAGCAAACAGGAUUAGAUACCCUGGUAGUCCACGCCGUAAACGAUGUCUACUUGGAGGUUGUGGCCUUGAGCCGUGGCUUUCGGAGCUAACGCGUUAAGUAGACCGCCUGGGGAGUACGGUCGCAAGAUUAAAACUCAAAUGAAUUGACGGGGGCCCGCACAAGCGGUGGAGCAUGUGGUUUAAUUCGAUGCAACGCGAAGAACCUUACCUACUCUUGACAUCCAGAGAACUUUCCAGAGAUGGAUUGGUGCCUUCGGGAACUCUGAGACAGGUGCUGCAUGGCUGUCGUCAGCUCGUGUUGUGAAAUGUUGGGUUAAGUCCCGCAACGAGCGCAACCCUUAUCCUUGUUUGCCAGCGAGUAAUGUCGGGAACUCCAGGGAGACUGCCGGUGAUAAACCGGAGGAAGGUGGGGACGACGUCAAGUCAUCAUGGCCCUUACGAGUAGGGCUACACACGUGCUACAAUGGCGCAUACAGAGGGCGGCCAACUUGCGAAAGUGAGCGAAUCCCAAAAAGUGCGUCGUAGUCCGGAUUGGAGUCUGCAACUCGACUCCAUGAAGUCGGAAUCGCUAGUAAUCGUGGAUCAGAAUGCCACGGUGA